AGCUUUGCACAGUGGCAGUAUCAUAGCCAAUGAGGUUUAUUUGAGGCACGAUUAUUGCUCAUUGAAAACUUUUCCCAAUACCCCACCAUCAUGACUCAAAAUAUAGUCGGCAUUGGCAAUUUUGGGCAGUCUCUAAGGAGU
ensembl:snRNA U4 U4 spliceosomal RNA